rnacentral:rRNA from 1 species
GACGAACGCUGGCGGCGUGCUUAACACAUGCAAGUCGAACGGAGAGGCCCUGCUUUUGUGGGGUGCUCGAGUGGCGAACGGGUGAGUAACGCGUGAGUAACCUGCCCUUGACUUCGGGAUAACUUCAGGAAACUGGGGCUAAUACCGGAUAGGAGCUCCUGCUGCAUGGUGGGGGUUGGAAAGUUUCGGCGGUUGGGGAUGGACUCGCGGCUUAUCAGCUUGUUGGUGGGGUAGUGGCUUACCAAGGCUUUGACGGGUAGCCGGCCUGAGAGGGUGACCGGCCACAUUGGGACUGAGAUACGGCCCAGACUCCUACGGGAGGCAGCAGUGGGGAAUAUUGCACAAUGGGCGGAAGCCUGAUGCAGCAACGCCGCGUGCGGGAUGACGGCCUUCGGGUUGUAAACCGCUUUCGCCUGUGACGAAGCGUGAGUGACGGUAAUGGGUAAAGAAGCACCGGCUAACUACGUG